rnacentral:rRNA from 1 species
AUUGAACGCUGGCGGUAUGCUUAACACAUGCAAGUCGAACGGUAGCACGGUCUAGCUUGCUAGAUGGGUGACGAGUGGCGAACGGGUGAGUAACGCGUAGGAAUAUGCCUUAAAGAGGGGGACAACUUGGGGAAACUCAAGCUAAUACCGCAUAAUGUCUAAGGACAAAAGCUGGGGACUUUCGGGCCUGGCGCUUUAAGAUUAGCCUGCGUACGAUUAGCUAGUCGGUGGGGUAAGGGCCUACCAAGGCGACGAUCGUUAGCUGGUCUGAGAGGAUGACCAGCCACACUGGAACGGAGACACGGUCCAGACUCCUACGGGGGGCAGAAGUGGGGAAUAUUGGACAAUGGGGGAAACCCUGAUCCAGCAAUACCGCGUGUGUGAAGAAGGCCUGAGGGUUGUAAAGCACUUUCAGUAGGGAGGAGGGUUGAUAGUUUAAGAGAUAAUUGACUGGACGUUACCUACAGAAGAAGCACCGGCUAACUCUGUGCCAGCCGCCGCGGUAA